AUUUAAUUUAACGGCCGCGGUAUCUUAACCGUGCAAAGGUAGCAUAAUCAAUUGUCCCUUAAAUUAGGACUAGUAUGAAUGGCACCACGAGGGUUUAACUGUCUCCCUAUUUUUAUUAAUGAAAUUAAUCUUCCCGUGAAGAAACUGGAAUAUAAAUAUAAGACGAGAAGACCCCAUGGAGCUUUAAACUAAUUACCACUUAUUUAAUAAUAUAACUUACUACCCGAUAAGAAUGUUCUUUAAUAGUUUUUGGUUGGGGCGACCCUGGAGAAAAACAAAUCCUCCAGAUUGAAAGGAACAACAACCCUUAUGUAAGAACUACAGUUCAAACAAACAAAAUUUUGACAAAACUGACCCAAAUUUAUUGAUCAGUGAACCAAGUUACCCUGGGGAUAACAGCGCAAUCCAUUUCAAGAGCCCCUAUCGACAAAUGGGUUUACGACCUCGAUGUUGGAUCGGGAUAUCCUAGCAGCGCAGCUGUUGCUAAUGGUUCGUUUGUUCAACGAUUAAUAUCCCACGUGAUCUGAGUUCAGACCGGA
rnacentral:rRNA from 1 species